rnacentral:rRNA from 1 species
GACAGAGGGGGCAAGCGUUGCUCGGAAUCACUGGGCGUAAAGGGCGCGUAGGCGGCAUGGCAAGUCAGGAGUGAAAGGCCUGGGCUCAACCGAGGAACUGCUUUUGAUACUGCCAAGCUAGAGUGCGGAAGGGGCAACUGGAAUUCCCAGUGUAGCGGUGAAAUGCGUAGAUAUUGGGAAGAACACCUGAGGCGAAGGCGGGUUGCUGGGCCGACACUGACGCUGAGGCGCGAAAGCCAGGGGAGCAAACGGG